rnacentral:snRNA from 1 species
GCUUGGGGCGCUCUGGCUGCAUCUUUGUCACUGCAUUGGCCACCAGGAUGAAGACGGCUGGUCUGCCAGCUGGGUGGGUUUCGCCAUUCUCCCCUUCAGCUCUUCUGCUGCCUCCUGAGCAGGUGCGUGCUCAACCAGGGGGCUGAUACGUAUACAUAGGCUAUGUAAGUAAAUUCAUCUUUUAUCUGGGAAGAUGUAUAUAUAGCCUAUUAUCUACUACUAUUCAGCCUUGAAGAUGUAUACAUAGCCUAUUGUCU